AACCUGCCCUGGUUCCCUUCUAUCCUGUGGAAGCUUUGUUCUUUUGGUCUUCAUAAUAAAUAUUGCUGCUGCUCACUCGUUGGGUCCGUGCCACCUUUAAGAGCCGUAACACUCACCACAAAGGUCUGCAACUUCACUCCUGAGGCCAGCAAGACCACGAAUCCACCGGGAGGAAUGAACAACUCUGGACACACCAUCUUUAAGAACUGUAAUACUCACCGUGAGGGUCCACAACUUCAUUCUUGAAGUCAGUGAGGCCAAGAACCCACCAAUUCCGGAUGCAUUUUGGUGACCUUGAAGGGACUAUCACCUAUCGCCAAGCAGUGAGGCUAUUGCCAAUCAGUGAGACUAUCGCCAAGUGGUGAGAUCAUCACCAAGCGGUGAGACCAUCACCAAGCGGUGAGACACUCGCCUAUUGCCAAGUGGCCUGAUUCAGCAGGAAGCAUCUCAGACACCAACCACUAUGCUGCCAGCAGUGGCCCGGGGCUACCGGGGCUGGUUUCAUCCCUGUGCUAGGCUUUCUGUGAGGAUGAGCAGCACUGGGAUAGACCGGAAGGGCAUCCUGGCUAACCGAGUAGCCGUGGUCACGGGGUCCACCAGUGGGAUCGGCUUUGCCAUGGCCCGGCGUCUGGCCCGGGAUGGGGCCCACGUGGUCAUCAGCAGCCGGAAGCAGCAGAAUGUGGACCGGGCCGUGGCCGAGCUGCAGGGGGAGGGGCUGAGCGUGGCGGGCAUCGUGUGCCACGUGGGGAAGGCUGAGGACCGGGAGCAGCUGGUGGCCAAGGCCCUGGAGCACUGUGGGGGUGUCGACUUCCUGGUGUGCAGCGCAGGGGUCAACCCUCUGGUGGGGAGCACUCUGGGGACCAGUGAGCAGAUCUGGGACAAGGGACCUCAGGGUGGUACCCCCUUCUGACAUCUGGGCCACUUCUUGCAGUCAUUGGGGGUCAUCCCCCACACUGGUAACCUGUCAUCAAAUGGGCCACAGCAACAUUCAGCUUAAGUAUUUCUCCUUCCCACAUCCAAGGGAUUGAGUGGGCAUGAGACUGGGGAGUGGAAAAAACAGUGAACAGUCCUGGUCAGUUGCAGAUGUGCAGUCUCAUUCCCUAGAGAUGCAGGAUGCAGCUGACCUGAAUCAGGACAGAUCCCUGCAGGAGGGACUCCUGGUGCCAUGUCAGUCCCACCUGGCACUGCCCUAGCUCCCAGGCUCUGCCUCUGCAUCUUUCCUUGCUACUUCCUCUUUCACUUCUCCCCUGUUCCCAGACCCACCAGACAGAGCUUCCAGAGUGUCAGGACCUGUGUGGCUUAGCCAAGAUUCAGACUUUAGUCAAAAGCAGGAUCAGUAUAGACAUCUAGCUCCCAGAAUGGCAAUUCUCUGUUGUGUCUCCCUGUUUGUAUUGGCUGCAGGAAAGCUCAGAGCCAAGUCUGCGAUAAACUGGUGUGUGUAGGCCCUUACAGCCUGCAUUUUUGUGACCAAAUAAUAGAAUAAAUGCUCAGUCCUUAUCACAUGCUGUGAACUGUAGGCACCAACCUCACUCUUGCUUUUUAUUAUUUUUCUACACUGAUUUUUCCUUUUCUCCAUUUCUUCACACAUAGUACCUAUUUGAUUUAUUUUAUGCUGUUGCAUUGUGAGUGUGCCUUAAAUUCUAUGGGGACAAGGCAAGAGGACAAGCAAAUGAAAGCUCAGAGAGACAAAAAAGGCUCUUCCAGAAGUCUCCCUUGCUUCUAGCACCUGCUUCCCCUCCAUCAGGCUGUCUUCAGUCUUUCUCCAGAGGCCUCUGCUUACAGUGUGUUGUUGUUUUCUUAAGAGACAGGGUCUCACUCUGUCACCCAGGCUGGAGUGCAGUGGCAUGAUCAUGGCACACUGCAGCUUCAAACUCCUGGGCUUAAGGGAUCCUCCUGCCUCAGCCUCUUGAGUAGCUAGGAUUACAGGUGUGCACCACCACACCAUGCCAAUUAUUUAAAAAUCUUGUAGAGACAAGGUCUCACUAUGUUGCUCAGGCUGGUCUUGAGCUUUUGGCCUUGAGUAAUCCUCCCACCUUGGCCUCCUAAAGUGCUGAGCAUGACCCACUGCCCUCAUUCCCCAUUUUCUUUAAAAGGCCUGAACAUUUCCUUCCUCGUGUCAGUCCUGAACAAUUCACAUUUUCAGGGCUCUGCUCACAGGCCUGUGACUUAGCCUGCCUGCCUAUGAAACCAUUAGCAAAUUAGAAAUACCUCUUGCACCAGUCAGAAGGGGAUUGGUUUCUCUUAUAUGCACAUAAAUUGGGUCUACUGCACAAAUUACAGGGCUCCAAGUGUCUUAUGAGAGCAGGACUUGGGCUGACCAUGUCUCUCUGCCCUCACCCAUGCUCUGCUCUGAUUUCAGAUCCUAAGUGUGAACGUGAAGUCCCCAGCCCUGCUGCUGAGCCAGUUGCUGCCCUACAUGGAGAAGAGGAGGGGUGCUGUCAUCCUGGUCUCUUCUGCUGCAGCUUAUUAUCCAGCAAAGGAGCUGGGUGUCUACAAUGUCAGCAAGACAGCACUGCUGGGUCUCACUAGAACACUGGCAUUGGAGCUGGCCCCCAAGGACAUCCGGGUAAACUGCCUGGUUCCAGGAAUUAUCAAAACUGACUUCAGCAAAGUGUUGCAUGAGAAUGAGUCUUUCUGGAAGAACUUCAAGGAACGUCAUCAGCUGCAGAGGAUUGGGGAGUCAGAGGACUGUGCAGGAAUCGUGUCCUUCCUGUGCUCUCCAGAUGCCAGCUACAUCACUGGGGAGAACAUUGCAGUGGCAGGCUUCUCCUCUCGGCUCUGAGAGGAGUGGGGGCAGCUGUGCAGCUGUGGUCUCAGGCCCAGGAGCCUGAGGGGGUGUCUAGGUGAUCAUUUGGAUCUGGAGGCAGAGUCUGCCAUUCUUCCAGACUAGCAAUUUGGGGGCUUACUCAUGCUAGGCUUGAGGAAGAAGAAAAACGCUUUGGUAUUCUCCUUAGGACUUAUCUGCUUGUAGAUUUGGCUGAUCCAAUCAACAUGUGGGGUUCUUGGUGUGGGGCUGGGGAGCUGAAGGAUUUUAUGGAGCUGGUGCUUUGGAGGAACCUUAAGGGAAAGGAGUAGAAGCUCAGGCCUUUGAAGGAUUUCAGCUCCUCCUCUCUGUAAUUUGUGCUUUAAGCAUUUUUUUCCUAAAAUAAACUCAAAUCUAUCCUC
rnacentral:sRNA from 1 species